UUUUGGAAGGAUUUCUCGAGGUUUUCAUCCUAUAAUCGCAAAUGUUAAAAGCGUUGUUCUGAUAUACUGUACAACUCGAAAUGAUAAAAUUCAUACCCCUGCGACCAUGUAAUAUCCUCUAAUGCUUCUAUCCAACAGAAAAAAAAAACAGUUAUACAGGAACUUUUCACACUGUCAACUCCAUCAAGAAAACAGGAAAAUGGAGAUCGAAGGUAAAUCUAUCAAAGUACAGCAAAGUGCUUAUCCCAGGGCAAUUCGACGCUACAAAUCACUGGCAAUUAUGUGUCGUUGACCUUGAUGAAGGCACGAUUGCUUUGGUGGACCCUAUGUCUUUGGAAACUGACAUGGACAGUGUCGUUUUUAAUGAGAUGAGAGAAGAGAGAAGGAUAUAAAGGCAAAGUGGAGUGGCGACAAAAAUGGAUUAAUCAUCCACUACAGACCAGCAGACAGAUUGUGUCAGCUGUGGGGUUUUCAUCUUAAAGGUUUAUAUUCAAUUUCUUUUGUUUUCCUGUAGCUAUUCGAAAGCAAAUACGAUGGAUUCUCCUUAUAUAUAAGAUCAUGUAGUAAAUAUUCAUUUAAUUUUAACAGAUAGCUGAAUGCCUAGCAUGGGACAUGGCUCUCUCUUUUACCAAAGAUGACGUAGAUGAGUACCGUUACAUUAUAGCGGGAAGACUGAUAACAGAAAAAUGGUGAAAAUGUCAAUCCAAAGCGAAGACGAAGUUCUUCUGGGAAAGUGUGACUGGAGGAGUAAAACACUAAUAUCCCACUUUCUUCGACUCGAGUUUACCAACUGAAGUUUGGAAUUUGUUAGAAUAGGUAGACAGGUUAAUUAGGAGCCCUGUAACAAGUAACAAGAAAUGGUUUUGAACAAGGUUUAUUUCCCCGGGGAGCGUCUUCAGGGUAAAAUAGAAAUAGAUAGGGAUGCUCGUCUGGAAAUUCGAAAAAUUCCCUGAAAAAAUACCCGCACACUACUCUAUACCUAUAGAAUACCCUAUAAAAUACUCCAGAAGCAAAAAUGAUCCCUAAAAAUGCAUUUUUUGUAUCCCAUUUCAUAACUAAGAAUGAAUGACAAAUUGUCAAAGUAUUUUGUUUAGAAAUCGAAAGUUUUGCAGUAACAGAUGGCAAACUUGAAAAGUAAAAGUCUUCUAGCU